GGGGCUGUAAUGGUUUCGACAGGGUGGCGAACGCUACUCCGUGAUGCAGGUCGAGAGUGAGUCUUCUCUCGGAAAUACCGGGCUCAACAAACAAUAAGUGCAAACAACAUUGUACCUUUUGCUCGUAAAGCCGCUACUGUAGCUGCUUAAUAACCCAUAACACGGUUCGAGCGUCUGUAGUUUGACUCCGUUAAGGAUUACAGACAAAACCCCAACGGAUGCCCUAAUUAGUUUCCUCUGGUAGGCUAAUCUUGGAAAGAACAUACCGGAGCAUCCCACAAUCCGGGACAAUGGAUAGUUCCCGCCUAGAGGAUCAGAUAGGCUAAACCUGUGAGCGAUCGGGAAGCUAAUACCCGCUUUGGACGGCAGUUCGAUUCUGCCCAGUUCCA
rnacentral:tmRNA from 1 species